GUAAAGUGUAAUUUUUACUGUUUUUGAACAUAUAUAUAAUUUCGCUUCUAAUAAUCUUUAAAGUCUGUUGUUUUAUUGUAUAAUUCUAUCUUUGUAAAAAGAGGUUUCCUGAGGUAGCAGUAAUUCUUUGUUCCAGACUCAAAUAUAUGGCCGGCCCCUCGAGAAGUGCCUGAACCAUAAUGAUAAUGCUUAGUGGGAAAAUGUGCUGGAAACAACCUGUGAAAAGGCAAAGAAUGAAACAGAGAGAGCCAGGAACUCAGCACAGGAAGAAGUCAGCAGCAGAGAGAAUCAUGGGAGUGGAGGGUCCUCGGUCUCGGGGACGGGCACUACUCGUGGAGGGAAGCCUGAGGAGGGACUGAGUUUCCUGGGCCACUAACAGGGCGAGGACGAGAGAGAUUUAGGCAGUAAAGGAGGGCGAUCCCUUGGGGCAGAAGAAACUGGGCGCAUCUGAGUUACGUAAAUGUUAUACAUUCUUCUAGAGCUAAGUGCUUAUUAAUUUUUUCCCUAUUCAAAAACUUCUACGUGCUGUUUUUUUUUUAAAGUGAUUAUCAUUGUUUCUAAUAAAGUGCUCCACAUUUCCUCAUCUCUUCUUUGAUGACUAGAAGCUGUCUUCAGGAUGGUUUAGGAGAGAAUUUCACAAAAAUAAACAGACAAUCUGUUCCUUCAAGAUAAAGGUGAUGUUUUAACAAUGCAUGAGAAAGUCAUUGGUUUUCAAAAGAGUCUUGUCUGAUGGCGAGAGCAUUUUUGAAAAUAGAUGGUCAGAAAUCUGUCCAACGUUAUGUGAUUUUGUUGCUAAAAAUGACGUGUAUCAGUUAUAAAAACCUCAUAUCUGCACACUUAACUUUGAAACUGAAAUUUCCAACUCCCUUCAGAAAUCUUCCAAAUGGAGAGUUUGCGUUUGCAAUGUAUUGAGGAAUUCUAGGGAGGACGGUGGUGCAGACCUGGCUCAUCUAAGGCAGGCGAGCUAACGCAAGGGAGAGAGCAGGCACGGGGCGAGACGGCAAGCCUGUGCUCCUCGGCCACGCUUUCGGGGCCCGGGAAGAAUCCAUCCACAUCUUCAUUGUUUUCCCUGAUACCACGAGUUGGCCUUCUCAGGAUGCCCAGACUGAUCUCUUUGUCAGCUGCCAACUGAUUUGUUUACCCCAAGAAUGUGCCUGCAGGAUUCACUAGUCCCAGGCUGCCAGCUGGGUUCUCCUCUCUUCCCUCUCAUGCCUCCUGUUUGUAAUUUUGUUUCAUGACAACAGUCCAUUGACCUUUCUGCCUCAUGUCUGAGUAAAUAAAUUGCGUGUACAACAACAAGCUGAGUAUCUCUGGAUUAUUCCUUGACGCCGUUUAAUUGGUACAUAAGAAAGACUGAUGGACUUCAUAGAAGACAGAAAUUUAGCCAAAUUUCAGUUAAAAGCUUUGCAUAAUUU
rnacentral:lncRNA from 1 species